rnacentral:rRNA from 1 species
UACGAAGGGGGCUAGCGUUGUUCGGAAUGACUGGGCGUAAAGCGCGCGUAGGCGGAUCAGAAAGUUGGGGGUGAAAUCCCGGGGCUCAACCUCGGAAUGGCCUUCAAAUCUCCUGGUCUUGAGUUCGAGAGAGGUGAGUGGAAUUCCGAGUGUAGAGGUGAAAUUCGUAGAUAUUCGGAGGAACACCAGUGGCGAAGGCGGCUCACUGGCUCGACACUGACGCUGAGGUGCGAAAGCGUGGGGAGCAAACAGG